rnacentral:rRNA from 1 species
AGAAAGUUCUUCGGAACGAGUAAAGUAGCAGACUGGUGAGUAACGCGUGGGAAUCUACCCAUGAGUACGGAAUAUACAUGAGAAAUUGUGUGCAAUACCGUAUGAUUUCAUGAAGUGAUUAAAGGUGGCCUCUUGCUACCGCUUAUGGAUGAGCCUGCGUACUAUUAGCUUGUUGGUGGGGUAAAAGCCUACCAAGGCGAUGAUGGUUAGCCGGACCUGAGAGGGUGAUCGGCCACAUUGGGAUUGAGAUACGGCCCUGACUCC